CCAGACUCCUACGGGAGGCAGCAGUGAGGAAUAUUGGACAAUGGUCGGGAGACUGAACCAGCCAAGCCGCGUGAGGGAGGAAGGUACAGAGUAUCGUAAACCUCUUUUGUCAGGGGACAAAGACUGGGACGCGUCCCCGGAUGAGUGUACCUGAAGAAAAAGCAUCGGCUAACUCCGUGCCAGCAGCCGCGGUAAUACGGGGGAUGCGAGCGUUAUCCGGAUUUAUUGGGUUUAAAGGGUGCGCAGGCGGAAUGUCAAGUCAGCGGUAAAAUUUCGGGGCUCAACCCCGUCGUGCCGUUGAAACUGGCGUUCUUGAGUGAGCGAGAAGUAUGCGGAAUGCGUGGUGUAGCGGUGAAAUGCUUAGAUAUCGCGCAGAACCCCGAUUGCGAAGGCAGCGUACCGGCUCCACACUGACGCUGAGGCACGAAAGCGUGGGUAUCGAACAGGAUUAGAUACCCCCGUAAA
rnacentral:rRNA from 1 species